rnacentral:rRNA from 1 species
CCCCUAGAUGUUCUGGGCCGCACGCGCGCUACACUGAACAGUUCAACAAGUCUUAACCUUGGCCGAUAGGUCUGGGUAAUCUUUGAACGCUGUUCGUGAUUGGGAUAGACCUUUGCAAUUAUGGGUCUUCAACGAGGAAUUCCUGGUAAACGCAAGUCAUCAGCUUGCAUUGAUUGCGUCCCUGCCCUUUGUACACGCCGCCCGUCGCACCUACCGAUUGAAUGGUCCGGUGAAAUCUCGGGACGGCGGCUUGGUCGCUUGCGUCCGACUGCUGAAACUUGAUUAAACCAUAUCAUUUAGAGGAAGGUGAAGUCGUAACG